AUUGAACGCUGGCGGCAGGCCUAACACAUGCAAGUCGAACGAGUGGCGGACGGGUGAGUAAUGUCUGGGAAACUGCCCGAUGGAGGGGGAUAACUACUGGCAACGGUCGCUAAUACCGCAUACCAUCGGAUGUGCCCAGAUGGGAUUAGCUAGUAGGUGUGUGAACGGCUCACCUAGGCGACGAUCCCUAGCUGGUCUGAGAGGAUGACCAGCCACACUGGAACUGAGACACGGUCCAGAUGCCUACGGGAGUCAGCAGGGGGGAAUAUUGCACAAUGGGCGCAAGCCUGAUGCAGCCAUGCCGCGUUGAUGAAGAAGGCCUUCGGGUUGUAAAGUACUUUCAGCGGGGAGGCGUUACCCGCAGAAGAAGCACCGGCUAACUCCGUGCCAGCCGCCGCGGUAAUAC
rnacentral:rRNA from 1 species